rnacentral:SRP_RNA from 13 species
CAGAGCGGCGACCGUGCCAACCAUGUCAGGUAUGACAUGCAGCAGCUCCAGCAAUAUAUUUGACAUGCGUGGU